rnacentral:miRNA from 1 species
UCUUAAUCACUAAGACAUCUCCCUAGGCCCUCUUCUGCUUUCUUAAAAGAUGAAAUUGGGGCUGGAGAGAUGGCUUAGUGGUUAAG